rnacentral:lncRNA from 1 species
ACGUGGCUUGGGACCGUGUGGAGAGUGCGGGCGCUGGACAGCAGCUCCGGCCCCUCACCGACGCGCAGCCCGCGCCUGGGCCGACCUGUUGACUGAAAAUCAGCCGGCGCUUGGCCAGAUGCGUCGAUGGAGGCCCGCAGCCCAGCGACGACGUGGUAGUCAUGGCUGAAGCGGCGCCUGCCCCGGUAUUUCUCUGAGUCCAGAGCAGGCCCCAAGUCCAGCUAGCCCUGCCCAGGAGGAACUGAAUCAAAGGCAGACACCUGAGCAGCAGCAAGAGGAAGCAACCAUGAUUCCACCUGAGCCAGGCACUGGGAUUCCAGCAAGCACCAGCCCUUUAUCACUUAAACAGGAGGAAGAAUCUGCAGAGGGAGGAGAGUUGCCACCCUCCCCUUCCACAGAUAGCCUGCUUUCUGUGGAGCCAGGGAAGUCCAGCCCUGCAAGGGCCCAGCUCUGAACAGGACAGGACCUGCACUGUCUCAGGGCCUUUCCCUUGUGCCUGCCAAGUGGUGGAAGUUCCUUCACUUUCCAGCUGAGUUGGUACUUUAGGGGCCCUUCAAAAGCACAAGCUCCAGACCAGGAAUUUGAGGUGAUAGUGUCAUGCCUCAAAGUCAUGAGAGCGGGUGCUUCAUGUGCCUCUUUGUCACAGCACCUUGGGGACAGCCUUGUGGAGCUUCUGGAGCUGGGUGAUGGAUUCCAAUUCUGAUAGUUUGCUCUCUUGUUUGGCACUCAGACACCAGAGCACAUGAAGGCUCCCAGGUGCCUUCAUCCCUGGCUGUGCUAUUGCUAAAGUCCUGCAGACUCUGUAGCCACUCAGAAGUCCUGCACAGACGAGGCAGAGGGUGACACUGCCGUCAUUCCCAGGGUAGGGGUAUGACUGGCAAGACUGUGGCAUGCAGCCAUGGUUCUGGACGUUACUUGCCUGCACACCCAACCGUUGUUUAGGCCCUGCAAGCAAGACAGCAGUUGUCAGUAAGCGCUCAGACUGAACGUGGACAGUAUAGCUGCCCCAAACUUAAUCCUCCGCUGCAAGCACUCAUGUUGCUGUUCUGGGGGUUCCUAGGCCUCUCUUCUAAUGCUUUAGAUGUUCUCUGGAAAACAAGUAUUCAUAUUUGAAGCACAAAUCCAAGUGCUGGGGUGGGGGAAGAGGCGCUGUAUAAUCCUGGCUCGCCUUGGGCUUGCAGUGAAUUUUUUUCCCCUACCUCUAUCUACCUACUAGGAUUUCCUUGCUUGUGCCAUUAUGCACAACUGGGCUUACUGCAUUUAACCUGAAAUUCAAUAGGACAGGUUAAAGAGUAUUUUGAGUUAAGAAUGAACAAAGGCUGCAUGGUUGCCUGAGCUCAAAGACGUUGGAUCCCAGAUUCUGAUGACUUAUUUUGUAAAACAAAGAUAUGGUUGGGUUGGUUACAAGGCCCUAAGAACCAUGGAGGUGGAAAUAUUAACUUAAUCGGUGCUCUAUAAAUACACUGGAAAAUGUA